UGUAAUGUAAUGUAAUGUAAUGUCUGGCGCUACCUACCGUCCAGUUUCAUUCCUAUCGCCACCAGGGGAUGUGCUACUGGACAUUAUCUCCAGGGUGUUCGGAAAGUUUGGCCUUAUAAAACUAUAUUUGUCAUUGACUAUUGCUAUUCAUCCUCUGGAAAACACUUAUUCGUUGCUGUAAUAGGGUGCAAAUAUUUGUGUAGCUCUUUCAUUUUUCUGGAAUUUGAUGGCCUUGUUGCAUAACUUUCCUUGGUCUUGGGUUGCAUCAUUAAAAAGGAACGCCAUUUCGCUAUCUUUCCCUCUUAUUGCCGGCUUUCUGAUCUACUCUGAUUAUUCCUACACUCAGAAGUGUAAGGCUCGCCAAUUUUCUGCAGUAAAAGGACAAUCUGAAGAUCUUGAAAAUGUCAAUGCUUAAAGAGCUUUCCAUGACAUGGAGCUUUGUAAAGCAGAAAAAACAUUUGGUGGUCAUCUUCCCUAUUGUCGCCUACCUGAUUGGAUGGAAACUGGAGAAAAUUGAGUAUGAAAGGAUGACUCUGUUUAGAGAUAGAAGUGCUUUGUUUGGAAGAGAGCAUGGUCCAGAUUACAAACCAUCAUGGUGAUUGUACUUUAUUUAGGGCAGUUGUAAUGUAGCUCACAAAUAAACAGAUAAAAGUCA